rnacentral:rRNA from 1 species
AGUGAACGCUGGCGGUAGGCCUAACACAUGCAAGUCGAACGGCAGCACAGUAAGAGCUUGCUCUUACGGGUGGCGAGUGGCGGACGGGUGAGGAAUACAUCGGGAUCUACUUUUUCGUGGGGGAUAACGUAGGGAAACUUACGCUAAUACCGCAUACGACCUACGGGUGAAAGCAGGGGAUCUUCGGACCUUGCGCGAUUGAAUGAGCCGAUGUCGGAUUAGCCAGUUGGCGGGGUAAAGGCCCACCAAGGCGACGAUCCGUAGCUGGUCUGAGAGGAUGAUCAGCCACACUGGAACUGAGACACGGUCCAGACUCCUACGGGAGGCAGCAGUGGGGAAUAUUGGACAAUGGGCGCAAGCCUGAUCCAGCCAUACCGCGUGGGUGAAGAAGGCCUUCGGGUUGUAAAGCCCUUUUGUUGGGAAAGAAAAGCAGCAGGUUAAUACCCCGCUGUUCUGACGGUACCCAAAGAAUAAGCACCGGCUAACUUCGUG